GUGCCAGCAGCCGCGGUAAUACGGAGGGUGCAAGCGUUAAUCGGAAUUACUGGGCGUAAAGCGCACGCACGCGGUUUGUUAAUUUGGAUGUGAAAUCCCCGGGCUUAACCUGGGAACUGCAUCCAAGACUGGCAAGCUAGAGUCUCGUAGAGGGAGGUAGAAUUCCAGGUGUAGCGGUGAAAUGCGUAGAGAUCUGGAGGAAUACCGGUGGCGAAGGCGGCCUCCUGGACGAAGACUGACGCUCAGGUGCGAAAGCGUGGGGAGCAAACAGGGAUUAGAUACCCUGGUAGUCCACGCUGUAAACGAUGUCGAUUUGGAGGUUGUGCCCUUGAGGCGUGGCUUCCGAAGCUAACGCGUUAAAUCGACCGCCUGGGGAGUACGGCCGCAAGGUUAAAACUCAAAUGAAUUGACGGGGGCCC
rnacentral:rRNA from 1 species